rnacentral:tRNA from 1 species
AUUUUAAUUGUGCAAUUCAAUUUAAUUUGAUAGAUAAAAUCUUACUUUUUUAUUUAUUUUUAUUUU